GUGCUCCUGGUGGCCAGUCCGACUCUGCAUACAACUUUUAAAGCUAAGUUUUAAGUCAAUAUUUGAAAGGCAUAACGUUAAAAGUGAUAUGACUAAGAUGCAUAUGCCAAUGGUUAGUUAAAUGCUAAUGCCACAGUUUGCUAGUGUUAGCUAAAUUAGCUAGUUAACAAUCUUACAUUCCUUGACACAUCUGGUGUGAAGGUCGCUUCUCUCACCCACGAGUUCAGAAGUACCUUAGAGAGCGGAGACCAGACAUCACACACUACUAUGACGUGUGGCACACUACAAAAGUAUCAUCAUAAUGAAUCAAGUAUUGUUAUUGAUAAGUUUAUAUUUAUCAUGGUUAUAUCAUUGUUUUACAUUUGUCAUGAAUGCAUCCCGCAGGCAUCAACAAGAAAGUGGAAGGAAUCACUGAGGAGAAAGGGUGUGAGAGAGUAAAGAAGUGGCAGGCAAGCAUAAAGAAUCACCUUUACUGGUCAGCUGCAAACUCCUCAAGUGGGGGAGAGACUGUGGCCAAGUGGACAUCCAGAAUGGUCAUGUGCAUGAAGAUCCCCUGUUCCCUGCCUGCCUGCAUGGCCCUUCCAAGGCACCUCAAAGUGGCUGAAGCCAACCGCCGAGCCUUACUACAGGCUAGAAAAAGUGCUGGAGAACAAGCGUCUUCUCAAAGACAUCUGAAUGCUCAGCCCACUGCACCAGAUCUCUAACCUGGAGAUGUUAUUAUGUCCACAAAACUGUGUGUGUUACUCUCAAUAAAAUGCUUUCAUUUCAGGCAUUACCUGACCACAUUCCACUUAAAUGAGAAUGCUGGACGCUGCCAGGCAAAGACUGCUAAAUUAGACCUUCGGUAUAAAGUCUGCUUCCCCAGGGACAGGAAGGGGGGCCUUCCAUUGAGCCAGUCAAGACUCCACCACCUUGUCGUGACUUGAAAAUGUUUACUAGUACUUUGAUCUGACAUUGCAUUGAUAUAAUUCAGAUACAAACCAUAGUGAAGAGCAUAACAAACAUGAAAAGUAAUUAACAUUAUCAUUAUCAUUAACAAAAACAUCCUAUAAUUUUAUUAAGGUUACAUCGAUGAACUUCUGAACCUCCUACUGUAUGUAGUUACAGUAUAUAGUUAAAAAAACAUGUACUGUCCUCUUCCUCCCUCCUUCCUUCUCUGUUUUGUCUUAUAGUUAGAUACCCAAUAGGCUGCUGGAGGAUGGACCACUACUCAUCUGCUCUGCCUGCUAUGGUGCAUAUGAAGUCCAUCUCCCACACUUCAGAUACCCCACAGGCUGCUGGAGGAUGGACCACUACUCAUCUUCUCUGCCUGCUAUGCUGCAUAUGAAGUCCAUCUCCCACACUG